GACGAACGCUGGCGGCGUGCUUAACACAUGCAAGUCGAACGGAAAGGCCCUGCUUUCGGGGUACUCGAGUGGCGAACGGGUGAGUAACACGUGGGUGAUCUGCCCUGCACUUCGGGAUAAGCCUGGGAAACUGGGUCUAAUACCGGAUAGGAGCCAUUUUGAGUGUGAUGGUUGGAAAGUUUUUUCGGUUUGGGAUGAGCUCGCGGCCUAUCAGCUUGUUGGUGGGGUAAUGGCCUACCAAGGCGGCGACGGGUAGCCCGCCUGAGAGGGUGGACGGCCAAAUUGGGACUGGGAAAAGGCCCAGACUCCCACGGGGGGCAGGCGUGGGGAAUAUUGCACAAUGGGCGCAAGCCUGAUGCAGCGAAGCCGCGUGGGGGAUGACGGCCUUCGGGUUGGAAAAUCCUUUCGCUAGGGACGAAGCUUUUUGUGACGGUACCUAGAUAAGAAGCACCGGCUAACUACGUG
rnacentral:rRNA from 1 species